GGGAGCCGUGUGACGGGAGACUGUCACGCACGGUUCUGAGAGCGGCGGUGGGUGAGAUUCCCGCCGCCGACUCACC
rfam:Mycobacterium sp. 852002-51759_SCH5129042 contig_26, whole genome shotgun sequence.